rnacentral:rRNA from 1 species
UACGUAGGGUGCGAGCGUUGCCCGGAAUUAUUGGGCGUAAAGGGCUCGUAGGCGGUUUGUCGCGUCGGGAGUGAAAACCCAGGGCUUAACUCUGGGCUUGCUUUCGAUACGGGCAGACUAGAGGCAUGCAGGGGAGAACGGAAUUCCUGGUGUAGCGGUGAAAUGCGCAGAUAUCAGGAGGAACACCGGUGGCGAAGGCGGUUCUCUGGGCAUGUCCUGACGCUGAGGCGCGAAAGCGUGGGGAGCAAACAGG